rnacentral:lncRNA from 1 species
GCACAGAAUUUGACUCCUGAUUUCGACUGACAGUACCAAAAAGGUUCCCUGGCCGACCCACCAAGCAGAGAUGACCUACCGAGCCUUCAGCUCAGGCAAAGGCAUAUAUUGACAUGGAGAGAUCUAACUGGCUAAAGGCAUCCACCACCACCACUUGUUCGGAAGUGCCAGCAAGCUCCCUUAAAAACCAGGAGGGGAACUGA